rnacentral:rRNA from 1 species
AAAGGAAUAGACGGGGGCCCGCACAAGCGGUGGAGUAUGUGGUUUAAUUCGAUGCAACGCGAAGAACCUUACCAGGGCUUGACAUCCCGCGAACCCGCCUGAAAGGGGGGGGUGCCCUUCGGGGAGCGCGGAGACAGGUGGUGCAUGGCUGUCGUCAGCUCGUGUCGUGAGAUGUUGGAUUAAGUUCCGCAACGAGCGCAACCCUCGUUUCAUGUUGCCAGCGGUUCGGCCGGGCACUCAUGCGAGACUGCCGUAGUAAUGCGGAGGAAGGUGGGGAUGACGUCAAGUCAGCAUGCCCCGGACGCCCUGGGCUACACACAUACUACAAUGCACGCGGCAAACGGAUGCUAACCCGCGAGGGGGCGCCAAUCCGAGAAGCGCGUGCUCAGUGCGGAUCGCAGGCUGCAACUCGCCUGCGUGAAGUCGGAAUCGCUAGUAACCGUCGGUCAGCAUUACGACGGUGAAUACGUUCCCGGGCCUUGUACACACCGCCCGU